rnacentral:rRNA from 1 species
AUUGAACGCUGGCGGCAGGCCUAACACAUGCAAGUCGAGCGAGCGGCGGACGGGUGAGUAAUGUAUGGGGACUGCCCGAUAGAGGGGGAUAACUACUGGAAACGGUGGCUAAUAACGGCUACUGUCGGAUAACCCAUAUGGGAUUAGCUAUGAGGUAAGGUAAUGGCUUACCUAGGCGACGAUCCCUAGCUGGUCUGAUAGGAUGAUCAGCCACACUGGGACUGAGACACGGCCCAGACUACUACGGAGGCAGCAGUGGGGAAUAUUGCACAAUGGGCGCAAGCCUGAUACAGCCAUGCCGCGUGUAUUAAGAAGGCCCUAGGGUUGUAAAGUACUUUCAGUCGGGAGGCGUUACCGACAGAAGAAGCACCGGCUAACUCCGUGCCAGCAGCCGCGGUAAUUC